AUGUCAUUUUUAGUUGUAGCAAAAUGGAUGACUUAGUGAUAACCAGCCAAAUGAGGACAGAAGACAGAAGUAUGAGCAUUCACAUCUCUUCCAUUAAAUUUUGUGAGGUUAGUCUUUAUAUUAUAAAAAAGUGGUUGUAAGUGAAGAAAAGAGAAAAUGUUACUGUUUAUCUACAAAAAAAAGUGGUUGUAAAUGAAUGAGAGAGAAAAUGUUACUAUUCAUCUGUAUAUUUUGGGGACACUAUUCAAUCUCUACAAUUUUUUAAUAUAUUUUGCAAAUGGUUGCGAAUGAAGGAGAAAGAAAAUGUAAUGAUAAAGGUAUAAAAAAAUAUUAUUUAAUUAAAAGAAAUAGAAAUAUAAUUGUUUUUGUUGUAAUUAUAUGGUAGAUUUGAUAGAAGAGAUAUUAAUGCUUUAAUCAACUAGACCAGUCAUGUUGGCAGUACCUAAUUGACAUGACUCGACCCGACCCGACAUAUAAUCAAAACACCCCAUUUCAUAAACCCUAAAGAUUAAAAAAAGAGUUAAAUGUCAUUUUAGUCUCUGUGGUUUGGACCAUUUUGACAGUUUAGUUCAAAUGUUUUAUUUUUUACCUGUAGGUCCAAAAAGGUUUCACCGUUGC
rnacentral:lncRNA from 1 species